UACGUAGGGGCCUAGCGUUGUCCGGAAUUAUUGGGCGUAAAGAGCUCGUAGGCGGUUCGGCAAGUCGGAUGUGAAAUCUCCACGCUUAACGUGGAGGGGCCAUUCGAAACUGCUGUGACUCGAGUCCGGCAGGGGAGUGUGGAAUUCCCGGUGUAGCGGUGAAAUGCGCAGAUAUCAGGAGGAACACCGGUGGCGAAGGCGGGUCUCUGGGCCGAUAUUGACGCUGAGGAGCGAAAGCGUGGGGAGCGAACAGG
rnacentral:rRNA from 1 species